rnacentral:tRNA from 1 species
GCCGGCUUAGCUCAGUGGUAGAGCGUCUGCCUUGUAAGCAGGGGGUCGGGGGUUCAAAUCCCUCAGCCGGCACCA